rnacentral:rRNA from 1 species
GAUGAACGCUGGCGGCGUGCCUAAUACAUGCAAGUCGAGCGAACAGACGAGGAGCUUGCUCCUCUUACGUUAGCGGCGGACGGGUGAGUAACACGUGGAUAACCUACCUAUAAGACUGGGAUAACUUCGGGAAACCGGAGCUAAUACCGGAUAAUAUAUUGAACCGCAUGGUUCAAUAGUGAAAGACGGUUUUGCUGUCACUUAUAGAUGGAUCCGCGCCGCAUUAGCUAGUUGGUAAGGUAACGGCUUACCAAGGCAACGAUGCGUAGCCGACCUGAGAGGGUGAUCGGCCACACUGGAACUGAGACACGGUCCAGACUCCUACGGGAGGCAGCAGUAGGGAAUCUUCCGCCAUGGGCGAAAGCCUGACGGAGCAACGCCGCGUGAGUGAUGAAGGUCUUCGGAUCGUAAAACUCUGUUAUUAGGGAAGAACAAAUGUGUAAGUAACUAUGCACGUCUUGACGGUACCUAAUCAGAAAGCCACGGCUAACUACGUG